AUUUGCCGUCAACACCCACGGCAAAUUUGGCAAUGUCUUAUUCCGGAAAGGUGAGGUGGGUGACUGGAGGAAUCACUUCAGUGAGGCCCAGAGCCAACAGAUGGACGAGGAGUUCAACAAGAGACUAGCAGGAACCAAACUGGGGGCCCUGCUCCAAUACGACACCUACUGCAAGUAGGGA